rnacentral:rRNA from 1 species
GAUGAACGCUGGCGGCGUGCCUAAUACAUGCAAGUCGAGCGAACAGACGAGGAGCUUGCUCCUCUGACGUUGGCGGCGGACGGGUGAGUAACACGUGGAUAACCUACCUCUAAGACUGGGAUAACUUCGGGAAACCGGAGCUAAUACCGGAUAAUAUAUUGAACCGCAUGGUUCAAUAGUGAAAGACGGUUUUGCUGUCACUUAUAGAUGGAUCCGCGUCGCAUUAGCUAGUUGGUAAGGUAACGGCCUACCAAGGCAACGAUGCGUAGCCGAUCUGAGAGGGUGAUCGGCCACACUGGAACUGAGACACGGUCCAGACUCCUACGGGAGGCAGCAGUAGGGAAUCUUCGGCAAUGGGCGAAAGCCUGACGGAGCAACGCCGCGUGAGUGAUGAAGGUCUUCGGAUCGUAAAACUCUGUUAUUAGGGAAGAACAAAUGUGUAAUUAACUAUGCACGUCUUGACGGUACCUAAUCAGAAAGCCACGGCUAACUACGUG